AUGUGUGAGUCAUACUAACCCAUUUGCUGUUUUGUAGGUGUCAACCGGUGCGCAUAGCUUGUUUGCUCAAAUAUCCUGCUAGGGGCCACAAAUCCAAACUGAUGGAUCCACUCAACACCGGUAAAGGCAGACAUGUUUGGGAUCGGUUAUCGGCCAGAUCAAGAGUCGUCUAGACCAAACAGAGGACGUCGUCCACCGUACAU
rnacentral:lncRNA from 1 species